CUUCUCUUCAAAGGCCUGGAAAACCCAUGCCCUAGCUAGCCCUAGCUAGUUUCUCUCUGAAAAUUAAUGGGUUGAAAAGCUAUAAAACUAUUAAUUUUAUUUAUUUAUUUACCAACAUGUGAUUAUCCCACCUGCCCCAAAAAUUCUAUUAAUUAUACUGUCUCUUCCUUAUUUAUAAGCCACCUUUUAGCCGCUACUUGCAGGAGAAAAAAAGAUAUAAAGGGGAAGGCACCUUGGAGUAUUUUUCAUUGCAAAAGAAAAGCUAGGGUUUUUAUCCAACUCACAAAUGUUCUCCUUCACCAAUAUUCUCAAUCCUUCUCCACACAUUCCUUCGUCCUCUUACCACCCUUUUUCUCCUCCUGCUUUUGCUGACAACGACCCAGCUGAAGCUGAAAACAUUUUCCUUCAGUACUACGACCCACCAUUUUUACCCAAUAUCAAUGCUCCAAUAUUUCCUGAAAAAAAUGUAAUCACUAGGCAAAACAACGGAGACCCACUUGCGAAGAUGCCUGCAGCAGUGAAGAAAGAUAGGCACAGCAAGAUUUACACUUCCCAGGGGUUGAGGGACAGAAGGGUGAGGCUUUCCAUUGACAUCGCCCGCAAGUUCUUUGAUCUCCAGGACUUGCUAGGGUUCGACAAAGCCAGCACAACCUUGGACUGGCUGCUCACGAAGUCUAGAAAAGAGAUCGAAGAAGUUGCUCAAAUGAAGCAGCAGGGUUUUAGUAGCUUGUCAUCCAAUCAUUCUGAGGGUGAGGUGAUUUCAAAGAGCAAUUCAUUUGUGAGUGCUCCCAAAGAGAUCAAGAAGACGACGAUGAAAAUGCAGAAUCAUGAAGCUACUGAUCUUGCCAAAGAAUCGAGGACAAAGGCUAGAGCAAGAGCAAGGGAAAGGGCAAGAGAAAAAAGGCGCACCAGUAGGCCGGCCGCGGCCGAGUCCAAAAAAUGUUCGCAACCAAGUGGUGAUGAUGGUGAUGAUGAUGAUCAGCAGCAGCAGCUUGAAGUUUGUGAAAGAUCCUCCAAGGUGGUGGCGGAUGAUGAUGAUCAAGGCCCAAGGGCAAACGUUUUUGAGGAAUCUAUCGUGAUCAGAAGGAAGUUGAGGCCAUCUGAUCACACUCAUCAGAACAGCAAUUACUACUUUCCCAAUUUUCCUCUAAAUUGGGACAUUGCUAGCACCAUUGCACGCUCGAGCUGUUGUACCAUCCCGGCCCAACAUGAAUAAUCUUUCUAGAGAAGUACUUCAAAUCUGCCAGAAACCAUUAGAAGGGUGCAUCAAUCAACGUUUGAACUAAAAUGGUCUCCAGGCUAGCUCUACGCAUUAGCUAUGUUCUCUCGAUUCAGAAUUUGCUAAAGUUUCACAUGUGACAAAAAGCUGCAUGCGAACAAUUUAAAGAAGGUACUAAAUUCCAAAUCCCUCCUCUAAAUCCACAUAUCAAAAAAUGUUAUUUAGAUCUUCAGAUCGAAUCGGAAUAUGAAUGAAAGAAAGAAACUAUAGAUAUAUUAGUUCAA